GACGAACGCUGGCGGCGUGCUUAACACAUGCAAGUCGAACGGAAAGGCCCUGCUUUUGUGGGGUGCUCGAGUGGCGAACGGGUGAGUAACACGUGAGUAACCUGCCCUUGACUUUGGGAUAACUUCAGGAAACUGGGGCUAAUACCGGAUAGGAGCUCCUGCUGCAUGGUGGGGGUUGGAAAGUUUCGGCGGUUGGGGAUGGACUCGCGGCUUAUCAGCUUGUUGGUGGGGUAGUGGCUUACCAAGGCUUUGACGGGUAGCCGGCCUGAGAGGGUGACCGGCCACAUUGGGACUGAGAUACGGCCCAGACUCCUACGGGAGGCAGCAGUGGGGAAUAUUGCACAAUGGGAGGAAGCCUGAUGCAGCAACGCCGCGCGCGGGAUGACGGCCUUCGGGUUGUAAACCGCUUUCGCCUGUGACGAAGCGUGAGUGACGGUAAUGGGUAAAGAAGCACCGGCUAACUACGUG
rnacentral:rRNA from 1 species